GACAGAGGGGGCAAGCGUUGCUCGGAAUUACUGGGCGUAAAGGGCGCGUAGGCGGGAUGGCAAGUCGGUCGUGAAAUCUCUCGGCUCAACCGAGAAACGUCGGCCGAUACUGCCGUUCUUGAGGGAUGCAGAGGAGACUGGAAUUCCCGGUGUAGCGGUGAAAUGUGUAGAUAUCGGGAAGAACACCCGUGGCGAAGGCGGCUCUCUGGGACGGUACUGACGCUGAGGAGCGAAAGCGUGGGGAGCAAACAGG
rnacentral:rRNA from 1 species